rnacentral:rRNA from 1 species
GAGGUUGGCUCAGAAGCAGCCAUCCUUGAAAGAGUGCGUAAUAGCUCACUGGUCAAGUGGUCGUGCGCCGACAAUUGAGCGGGGCUCAAGCGCGCCGCCGAAGCCGCGGAUCCGCCGCGAUAGGGCUCUGCCGCCCCCAUGUUGGGGGGUGGUGGGGCGCGGCGGGUGGUAGGGGAGCGUCCCGCGCCGGGGGAAGCCGUCGGGUGACCGGGGGUGGACGGCGCGGGAGUGAGAAUGCAGGCAUGAGUAGCGAUACUGGGGUGGGAAGCCCCAGCGCCGUGUGACCAAGGGUUCCAGGGCCAGGCUGAUCCGCCCUGGGUGAGUCGGGACCUAAGGCGAGGCCGACGGGCGUAGUCGAUGGAUGACGGGUUGAUAUUCCCGUACCGGACCGGAUACCGACCGUGCCGACGCGCGGGUGCUGACCCACGCCCCGCGCCGCCCGUGUACGCCCCCGCGUCCCGGUCUUCGGGCCGGGCGGGGGCGGGGCGGCGGGGGUCUGGGGACCCUCCGCGCAGGUAGGCAAGCGUAUUAACAGGGGUGACGCGCAGUGGUGGCCCCGCGGGCCUGAUGGCUCGGCCCGUCCAAGCGCGCGGCCCGCCGCCCAGGCAAAUCCGGGCGGCUGCCUUAGAUGGCGGGGGUGAGGCGCGACGGUGACCCGGCCCUCCGGCCGGGGAAGCAGGGUGAUCCUGAGGCGCCUAGAAAAGCCUCGACGCGAGGGGCCGGUCCGCCCGUACCCCAAACCGACACAGGUGGUCGGGCAGAGCAUGCCCAGGCGCACGGGCGAACCGCGGUGAAGGAACUCGGCAAAACGCCCCCGUAACUUCGGGAGAAGGGGGGCCCGAACCCUGAGGCCCCGAGCGGGCUGGGGGUGAGGGUCGCAGAGGCCAGGGGGGAGCGACUGUUUACUAAAAACACAGGUCCGUGCGAAGCCGCAAGGCGAUGUAUACGGACUGACGCCUGCCCGGUGCUGGAAGGUCAAGAGGACCCGUCAGCCCCCCUUCGGGGGGUGAAGCGGUGAAUUCAAGCCCCAGUGAACGGCGGUGGUAACUAUAACCAUCCUAAGGUAGCGAAAUUCCUUGUCGGGUAAGUUCCGACCUGCACGAAUGGCGUAACGACUUCCCCGCUGUCUCCACCACGGGCUCGGCGAAAUUGCAGUACGAGUAAAGAUGCUCGUUACGCGCAGAAGGACGGAAAGACCCCGGGACCUUCACUGCAGCUUGGUAUUGGCGCCCGGUUCGGCUCGUGCAGGAUAGGUGGGAGACCGUGAUGUCGUCGCGUCAGCGGCGGCGGAGUCGUCGUUGAGAUACCACUCCGGCCGUGUCGUGCGCCUGAACCUCGGCCCGUGAUCCGGGUCAGGGACAGUGCCUGGCGGGUAGUUCAACUGGGGCGGUUGCCUCCCAAAGAGUAACGGAGGCGCUCAAAGGUCCCCUCAGCCUGGUCGGCAACCAGGUGUCGAGUGCAAGUGCACAAGGGGGCUCGACUGCGAGACCGACGGGUCGGGCAGGUGCGAAAGCAGGAACUAGUGAUCCGGCGAUCCCGUGUGGGUGGGUCGUCGCUCAACGGAUAAA